rnacentral:tRNA from 1 species
GAUGGAAUGGCUGAAGUUUAGGCAGUAAAUUGUAAAUUUAUUUAUGAAAAUAGAUGUGUUUUCUUUCAUCA